GAUGAACGCUGGCGGCGUGCCUAAUACAUGCAAGUCGAGCGAACAGAUGAGGAGCUUGCUCCUCUGACGUUAGCGGCGGACGGGUGAGUAACACGUGGAUAACCUACCUAUAAGACUGGGAUAACUUCGGGAAACCGGAGCUAAUACCGGAUAAUAUAUUGAACCGCAUGGUUCAAUAGUGAAAGACGGUUUUGCUGUCACUUAUAGAUGGAUCCGCGCCGCAUUAGCUAGUUGGUAAGGUAACGGCUUACCGAGGCAACGAUGCGUAGCCGACCUGAGAGGGUGAUCGGCCACACUGGAACUGAGACACGGUCCAGACUCCUACGGGAGGCAGCAGUAGGGAAUCUUCCGCAAUGGGCGAAAGCCUGACGGAGCAACGCCGCGUGAGUGAUGAAGGUCUUCGGAUCGUAAAACUCUGUUAUUAGGGAAGAACAAAUGUGUAAGUAACUAUGCACGUCUUGACAGUACCUAAUCAGAAAGCCACGGCUAACUACGUG
rnacentral:rRNA from 1 species